ensembl:lincRNA
CACCUUUGCUUGCUGCAAUCAAUAAUCCCUACAGAGUUACUCAUAAUUCUUUCAGAAUCAUUUACCAGUGCAAAAAUAGCCAUCAGCUAGUCCUGUUCACUUGUUGUAGAUAAUCGUUAACUACUGAUUGCACUGCCUUUGAGACUAUUUCCAUAGAAAGAGUUUGGCAUAACCUCCUUAAAAGAGUCUUAUUAACACAAAUAAAUCACCUUCUCAGGCUGUAAACAAUAUAUGAAAAAUGAAGCUCUAUUUUUUGCUGUCCUUGCCAUCUUUACCUUUGUCUUCUUUUUCUGUUUUGUCUGUUUCAUAUUUCUCUUGCUCUGGCUUGGUUACACUAUCGUAUGAAGGUGGUGAAAUGGUAGAUGGAGUUGCAUCUGUUUUUUCUGGACUGGAGUUCCCAUUAACAUUAUCAAAAACUAUUUCUUCUUUGUUAGGCAAGUCAUCAUCUCUGUCUCCAUCUUUUAUGUAUAUACUUGAUAUAUUUUUGACAUUUUUCCGUAAGCGGUAAUGUCUGUAAGCACGCUGAAUGACAGUAGCAGACACAUCCUCUUGUUUUCUUUUUAACGUAGUUGUGAUAGGUUCAUAGGACACUUUAGAAGGAUUUGCAGACAUGAACCUUUCUUCCAUCUGUGAACGAAGAGAAUCCAUCUCCCCACCUUCACCCAAAACCCGCUUUGUAAAAGCAAAUAAGAUGUCCAGGCAGUGGAUCCGGUCUCCACUGACCAUGGGCAGGUCCAUGGCAAUGAGCUGGACUUUGUUUGGUUUUGCUAUGAGAAGAGGGGGAUCCAGAGCAGCUGCAAAAUCGGAGAGCUUGGCAAACUCUAUGAACUGAGUUGCAUCAGGAUCAAACUUCUCCCAGACCUCAUAGAACAUCUCAAAGUCAUCCUCACUCAGGGGUUCAGUACUCUCUUCAGUGGCAACACUGAAGUUCUCCAGGAUGACGGCGAUGUACAUGUUCACCACCACCAGAAAGGAUAUGAUGAUGUAACUGACGAAAUAGAAAAUCCCCACCGAUGGGUUCCCACAGUCACCCUUCACGGAGCUUCCAGGGUGAUCUUUUUCAGGGUCACAGUCUGGAGGUCCACUGUUGAGAAUAGGCGCGAGCAGUCCGUCCCAGCCCGCAGAGGUGGUGAUUUGGAACAGGCAGAUCAUGCUGUUGCCAAAGGUCUCAAAGUUGAACAUGUCAUCGAUUCCAACUUCCCUCUUAACAUAGGCAAAGUUGGACAUUCCAAAGAUGGCGUAGAUGAACAUGACCAGGAAGAGCAGGAGGCCGAUGUUAAACAAGGCAGGAAGGGACAUCAUCAAAGCGAAGAGCAGCGUGCGGAUCCCCUUGGCUCCUUUGAUCAGACGGAGGAUUCGGCCGAUCCUGGCAAGACGGAUCACUCGGAACAGGGUGUCAGGUAUUUUGUCCCAGCGAUGGCAAGGAGACCGAUACAGGCACCAAAGAUCUACCUUAUAAGAACAAUUUACGAAAGUUCUCAGGUAUCGGAUCACUUACCAAAGCUCCGCUGCUGAGCAGGAUCAUGAGAACAAUGAAGCUUUCAAACCAACUGUGUUCAACUAUCCUGUAGCAGGUCUUCCUGAUGUUCCACCAGACUUUUCCUCUCCCUGACUCUAUGCUAACUUGGCAGCAUGGGAAUCUCCGAACACAACCUGACAAGAAAGAUGCACAUGUAAAAUCUUAAUGUUCAGAAUAAACGAAAUGCUUAAACUACAUUGUUCAGUGGAAAGUGUUCUCUGUGAUACUCCCGCAAGCAAAUGAUUUCAAACACAUUUCCUUGCAGUUUCAGAUAGAUUCAAUGUGGUUGUCACUUUCUUUCAUUUUCUAACUUCCACGAUUUUGUAUUAAAACUUUCUGGUUAUUUUUAACCUGGAAUGUAUUACUCUUUUCCAUUCUUCCCUCAUUCCUCCUCAGACUCCUCCGCAUUGCUUAAACCACUUAUAUUUGGUGAAGUAAUAAAUGAAUGAAUGAUGUCUACUCAUAGCAAAAUGUAGUCUGGUGCUUUCUUGGUGGACAGAUUUUCCUGGAUGUGCACCUAGGGUACAAUUUGAGAUGUUUCCAGUCCUAUAUUAAAAACUUUCUGAGAAAUGUAACCCUAUUCAAUAUUAUGAAAUGUAGUAGAACAUCCUAAAAUUAGGUUCCAAAG